rnacentral:rRNA from 1 species
GGAGCACCAUACCCUCGGGAAACUGAGGCUAAUAGUGCAUCCCGCACUCACCCUGGAAUGGCGAGUGCGUCAAACGCUCCGGCGCCGAAGGAUGUGGCUGCGGCCGAUUAGGUAGACGGUGGGGUAACGGCCCACCGUGCCGAUAAUCGGUACGGGUCAUGAGAGUGAGAACCCGGAGACGGAAUCUGAGACAAGAUACCGGGCCCUACGGGGCGCAGCAGGCGCGAAACCUUUACACUGCACGCCAGUGCGAUAAGGGGACUCCGAGUGCGAGGGCAUAUAGUCCUCGCUUUUCACCACCGUAAGGUGGUGGUGGAAUAAGUGCUGGGCAAGACCGGUGCCAGCCGCCGCGGUAAUGCCGGCAGCACGAGUGAUGACCGCUAUUAUUGGGCCUAAAGCGUCCGUAGCUGGCCGCGCAAGUCUAUCGGGAAAUCUGCUCGCCUAACGAGCAGGCGUCCGGUGGAAACUGUGUGGCUUGGGACCGGAAGAUCCAGAGGGUACGUCCGGGGUAGGAGUGAAAUCCCGUAAUCCUGGACGGACCGCCGAUGGCGAAAGCACGUCGCGAGAACGGAUCCGACAGUGAGGGACGAAAGCUAGGGUCUCGAACCGGAUUAGAUACCCGGGUAGUCCUAGCCGUAAACAAUGCCUGCUAGGUGUGGCUCCCACUACGAGUGGGUGCUGUGCCGUAGGGAAGCCGCUAAGCAGGCCGCCUGGGAAGUACGUCCGCAAGGAUGAAACUUAAAGGAAUUGG